rnacentral:rRNA from 1 species
GAUGAACGCUGGCGGCGUGCCUAAUACAUGCAAGUCGAGCGAACGGACGAGAAGCUUGCUUUUCUGAUGUUAGCGGCGGACGGGUGAGUAACACGUGGAUAACCUACCUAUAAGACUGGGAUAACUUCGGGAAACCGGAGCUAAUACCGGAUAAUAUUUUGAACCGCAUGGUUCAAAAGUGAAAGACGGUCUUGCUGUCACUUAUAGAUGGAUCCGCGCUGCAUUAGCUAGUUGGUAAGGUAACGGCUUACCAAGGCAACGAUGCAUAGCCGACCUGAGAGGGGGAUCGGCCACACUGGAACGGAGACACGGUCCAGACACCGACGGGAGGCAGCAGUAGGGAAUCUUCCGCAAUGGGCGAAAGCCUGACGGAGCAAGGCCGCGUGAGGGAUGAAGGUCUACGGAUCGUAAAACUCUGUUAUUAGGGAAGAACAUAUGUGUAAGUAACUGUGCACAUCUUGACGGUACCUAAUAAGAAAGCCACGGCUAACUACGUG